rnacentral:rRNA from 1 species
GAUGAACGCUGGCGGCGUGCCUAAUACAUGCAAGUCGAGCGAACGGACGAGAAGCUUGCUUCUCUGAUGUUAGCGGCGGACGGGUGAGUAACACGUGGAUAACCUACCUAUAAGACUGGGAUAACUUCGGGAAACCGUAGCAAAUACCGGAUAAUAUUUUGAACCGCAUGGUUCAAAAGUGAAAGACGGUCUUGCUGUCACUUAUAGAUGGAUCCGCGCUGCAUUAGCUAGUUGGUAAGGUAACGGCUUACCAAGGCAACGAUGCAUAGCCGACCUGAGAGGGUGGUCGGCCACACUGUAACUGAGACACGUCCCAGACUCCUACGGGAGGAAGCAGUAGGGAAUCUUCCGCAAUGGGCGAAAGCCUGACGGAGCAACGCCGCGUGAGUGAUGAAGGUCUUAGGCUCGUAAAACUCUGUUAUUAGGGAAGAACAUAUGUGUAAGUAACUGUGCACAUCUUGACGGUACCUAAUCAGAAAGCCACGGCUAACUACGUG